AUUGAACGCUGGCGGAAUGCUUUACACAUGCAAGUCGAGCGGCAGCGCGGGGGCAACCCUGGCGGCGAGCGGCGAACGGGUGAGUAACAUAUCGGAACGUACCCAGUCGUGGGGGAUAACUAUCCGAAAGGAUAGCUAAUACCGCAUACGUCCUGAGGGAGAAAGCGGGGGAUCGCAAGACCUCGCGCGAUUGGAGCGGCCGAUAUCGGAUUAGCUAGUUGGUGGGGUAAAGGCUCACCAAGGCGACGAUCCGUAGCGGGUCUGAGAGGACGACCCGCCACGCUGGAACUGAGACACGGUCCAGACUCCUACGGGAGGCAGCAGUGGGGAAUUUUGGACAAUGGGGGCAACCCUGAUCCAGCCAUUCCGCGUGAGUGAAGAAGGCCUCGG
rnacentral:rRNA from 1 species